AAACGUAAUAGUAAAAAUGAAAACAAAUCGCAGAAAAUAUAAAGAUGAACACAAGAUUUUCGCCCUAAGCCAAGAGGUUCAAAACUUCGUUCCUAAUCCCCUUUUCAGCUUUCGUCGAAUUGGAAGAAAAUCACUAUAUCACUGAAAUCAUAAAAAAUCGAACUGUCCAUUACAGAUCUCUUGGCACUCAGUGGAAGUCAUGCAAGAUUUCCCAAAAAUAUGCCUCAUAAAUCAUAACAACAUUCACUCAAGAAUAAAGAAUCAAAGCCUAUACAUCAAUCACUCAAGAUCUAUACAAAGCUGGUGAUUUUUUCAUCAUAAAUGGGCUAAAAUGAAAGAGUAUAGUAGAGAGUACACAAGGAACCACAAGGAGAAUUUGAGAGGCAGAGAAAAAACUGAAGGGUCUCAUCAUCAGAAAACCCUAGUGUCUAUUAUAAAUCGAAGCCACUAGAAGCCCUUCAUCCAAUGGUAUAGAGGAGAACACUUGGCAAGAUCUGAAGCAUCCAUUUUUAUUAAAAAAUCGUGUUUUCAGCAACAUGUUUUCGCCAAGCUAAUGAGCAGCUUGAAUUAUCAAUGGACACCCGACCCACAAGCCCAGCUACUUAAAUGAACCAGCCCAUCUUCAUUGUGCCAUAAUUCCUCCACAAAAACCAUAGAUAAGAAAUUCAGAAGCCCAUGUAUUGUCACCGAAGAAAUCAAAUUUUGAAUUAUCGAACAUGCCAUGAUACAUUGUGUUAGUGCCAUUGAUAAUAUCGAGCACCCCACAUUGAAUGCUCAUCAUUGUAGAUAGUGUGCGAAAAUCUAGAAUUUUGGUAGUGUCGAGUUUAUAAUUGAGUUGGUAAGUUUUGAUCGUGGACUCUAGCUUAUCAUCGAAUACAUCAUUGUUAGCAUUAAGAGUAUCAAGAUAACCAAAUUGACUGAAAUACUCCUUGAUUCAAUGGAGUCCUUCUACCCAAUCGUACUUCUUAAAACCUUGUAGGUUAUUGAGAAGCUGAAAAGGAGAUUUUUCUAUGAUCAUAUCCUUGUGCGUGAUAUUGCAACAUAGACCAUGAUGGGUCAAGAAAAGAACGCAAAAGCAUAGAAGAAUUAUGGUUGCCAUGAUUUCG
rnacentral:lncRNA from 1 species